rnacentral:pre_miRNA from 1 species
UAUUCAGAGUGGUAGCAGUCACUUUAUUCUAAAGUAACUGUGGCAUUUCUGAAUAGA